AACAGGUGCUAAUACCGGAUAAUAAAGCAGAUCGCAUGAUCAGCUUUUGAAAGGCGGCGUAAGCUGUCGCUAAGGGAUGGCCCCGCGGUGCAUUAGCUAGUUGGUAAGGUAACGGCUUACCAAGGCGACGAUGCAUAGCCGAGUUGAGAGACUGAUCGGCCACAUUGGGACUGAGACACGGCCCAAACUCCUACGGGAGGCAGCAGUAGGGAAUCUUCCACAAUGGACGCAAGUCUGAUGGAGCAACGCCGCGUGAGUGAAGAAGGCUUUCGGGUCGUAAAACUCUGUUGUUGGAGAAGAAUGGUCGGCAGAGUAACUGUUGUCGGCGUGACGGUAUCCAACCAGAAAGCCACGGCUAACUACGUGCCAGCAGCCGCGGUAAUACGUAGGUGGCAAGCGUUAUCCGGAUUUAUUGGGCGUAAAGCGAGCGCAGGCGGUUUUUUAAGUCUGAUGUGAAAGCCCUCGGCUUAACCGAGGAAGCGCAUCGGAAACUGGGAAACUUGAGUGCAGAAGAGGACAGUGGAACUCCCUGUGUAGCGGUGAAAUGCGUAGAUAUAUGGAAGAACACCAGUGGCGAAGGCGGCUGUCUGGUCUGUAACUGACGCUGAGGCUCGAAAGCAUGGGU
rnacentral:rRNA from 1 species